rnacentral:lncRNA from 1 species
GGAUGGGGAGAAUUGGGUGAAGAUAAUCCUUGAGCAGUUGUUCCGUUGACUAGUACAUUAUAUUCAUCGUUGCACAACAGUUUUGGACCUGAAUGAUCGUCCCUUGCAAAUUUCUUGAGACACGUAACGAAGCCUUGAUCAUAUACUUGCCAUGUAAUUCUAUGGUUAUGUUUUGCUACAUUUAAGAACCCAUCCAUAUCUGCUCAAGAAUAUAGACACACAAUGCUAAAGCUUCCGACUUUCUUACCGCCUUCAAGUGGUGAUGUGUUCUGUAGAAACACAUCUUCCAGAGUAGAAACAGAGGCAUUAUUGAGUUGCUGUUUGGUCUCCAUUUUAAUAUUAAUAUAUUUUUUAUUUCUUCUUUUCAACCACACAUUUUUUAAUAAAAUAAUAGUACACGUACAUUCAAAACUUUUCCUUCUUCUUUAAUCACAUAUUAUCCAAAAAAUUAUUAUUCUAAAAUAUAUUUUUUCCAAAACCUCGAUAAAAUGGAUCCCAAACAAGGGUUGAAUAAUGUAGUAACAUAAGAAUUUUGUGAAUCUUUUUCAUGCUCUCAAAAGACUGAAUAAGUUGUGACUUGUCUGAUUACAGUAGUAGCCGAGUUCUAAGUUACUUAAACUUCAUUUAAAGAAACUUUUUAUCUUUAUAACACUUUCGAAUUUUGAGCUUUGGAGAGCCUUUCCUUGUUAACCCAAUGCUCUCCAAGACAUGUUUCGUUUUUUACGUACUCCUACAACAGAAUACUAAAGAAGAGAACUUGCAACUCUUUGAUUGCUAGAGACCUCCAACAUGUAAUGUCACCCCACUUUAUUCUACUUUUUCUUAUUAUUGAUGUCUCUAUUGUGAUGUUUUCUUUCCUCUGGAAUUUCUUUCCUUUUAAGUCAAAGCAAAUGAAGUUCUCAAAUAACUGAUGCAUCUAUUUUUUUGGACUUUUAGCUCUAGUUGUAGAUUAAUGGUCUUAUAAUGUGAUUACUACUCUACUAAUUUGUUAUUGGCUGCUUUAUUAAUCCAUUUUAUGUUUCUAAUAGUAUGUUAGUCUUUUAGCUUUUCUAAACGGUAUUAAUAAUUAUAUUUUGAAAUUUUUAAUUUUUUAUUAUGUGUAAUUUUCUAUUUUUGUAGUUAUUUGAAAUUCUAUUGGUUUAUGUUGAGCUUUAUACUUCAAAGCAGCCGAGGUUCACCCUUUGCCUCAUGCAAAAACACCUCAAUACCACGUAUACAUGCAUGCACCUAUGUUUCUAAGUACUUGAUGUAAUUUUCAGGUUUUAAAUUUUUUCUUGUUUUUUGCUACAGAUGUCUUUGCAUCUUGGAGAAAAAUAUACAAAACUGCCCCUGUGAUUGCCUUUUGUUUAUUUUUUAUUUUUUGUGAUCAUUAUUGCAACAUAUAUUCCAAGUCAAAAAAAGAAAAAAGAAAAAAAAACAACCGCUUCGUAGUGUGGGGGACCAUCGAAUGACUAUCUACUUGAAAGGUCAUUCUCUUAUCUUAAACUUAGCCUACCAAAUACCUGAUUAGCUCAUCCUUGAGCCUCAUUUUUGGGCCCUUACCCCAUGCACCUCGAUAGCUUAAGAAUAACUAAUCAAUAUGGGGUGAAUUGAUUUUUAAAAACUUUUUCGAAAAAUUGAUUCAAAUUUAAGUUGAGAAUGAACAAGUCAAUCAAACAAAAAAUGCAAAUGUAUGAAAGCGCUAAGUAAAUGGGAAGAGAGUGUAAACAAUAUAAGCAAGAAGCUACCCUUCCAACAAUUUGAAUUGUUGUGCUGGGGAAAAAGAUCGUGCUGUUUUUGAUGAUUCUCAUGAAGCUAGCGGGAAGAACCAUAUGGAGGAUGAUAGGUGGGGAGAGCAGGUUUUGGAUCCAUCAAACGAAAAUGGUUUAGAAAAUGGAUUGGAGUUUGACCGUUAUGAACCUUAUUACAGUGAUGACAAAAAGGAGCAGAAUGAACUUCAAGAUGCAUCCUAUUUUGGUGGUUCACCCACUAGAACGAAGUCUCCAGAGAAAACAGGCUUUGGACAAAAUGAUCAUCAUAAAAUUUUGGAUCAUCUCAGCAAUUCAAAAUCUCGAAAAACGUGCUAUGCAUGUGGUAAAGUGGGUCAUGAAAUGCGGAAGUGCCCCUCACAGCUGGAGAGACCCAGAACAAGGUCUCAACUGCCGAGUCAAAGUAGUGAUGCUGCUCCAAUGAGGCAUCAGAAAAACGAUAGGGAGCCAUCGACUUCAAGAAAUAAUCGGAGAUUGCUUAGACGUGGAGAUUCUCCCUCAGCACAGCUUACUUCCAGACAUAGGAAACAAAAGUACGGGGAGAACAAUCGAAAUAAGACAGAUUGUGAAAGUCCAGAGAGACACCGUUCAAAGAAAGCAAGGGUUCUGUUGUCGUCUUCAAUCCACUCUGAUUGUACUGCAUCCAGAUUGCAGUCACCUACAAGAUCAAUAAGCUCAUUCUCUGAGUCUGUUUCCCAUUCCAAGUUCAAAUCAGCAUCAUCCAGAAAAAAUUCUCCGUCCGCUCAUUCGUGGUCUUCAACGUCAUACCAUUCUGGAUCUAAACCCUUCAUGUCGAGGUUGACAUCAAGCUCAAACUCUCCCACAUCUCUGGCUUUACCGGUAGCACUCGAUAGAUGUUUUUCUUCGUCACCAAAUAAAAUGCAAACAGAUUACAGGGGAGACGAAAAACUGGUAAAAGGUGUCAGUGGCACCAAAUCUGAAAAUAUUACAGUUACGGAAAAUGAAUCUGCAGCCGCAGCAUUGAGAGAGGAAGGAAUGAAAAAGGAUCUUGCCAUAAGGGAAGACGCGCACAAUAUUGCCUUCACCAGUGAUUCAUGCCAACUGCUAGAGUCCUAUAAAACGCAGUCAGACAACAGUAAUCACAAUUGGGAUAAUUUGAUGUUGCAAAGUGAGAGAGAUGCGGGAAACUCCAAAUGAGUACUGUGUGGUGGAACAUACAUCGGCAAAAGAGCCUGAAAUCUCCGUGAGAUCAAAUGCUGCCCAGUCAACAAGACUGUCCUCUGAGGAAAUGUACACAUUUCUAAAACAUUAUCGACUGGAGCAUCCUGAGGAAGAUAAAAAGGAUCUACCUGCUGAAACGUAUCUAGGGUGUGCUCGCACAUGGCCUUGGGAGAUAAUAUACUAUAGAAAACUAAAGAAGGGUGCAAUUUCAGCCGAGAACUAUGCACGGAGAAUUGCUCAGAAUAAAGAGUUCUGUAUCGUCGAUAAUUACAUUCGUGGCAGUAGUGGAUGGGGAGAAUUGGGUGAGGAUAAUCCUUGAGCAGUUGUUCCGUUGACUAGUACAUUAUAUUCAUCGUUGCACAACAGUUUUGGACCUGUACGAUCGUCCCUUGCAAAUUUCUUGAGACACGUAACGAAGCCUUGAUCAUAUACUUGCCAUGUAAUUCUAUGGUUAUGUUUUGCUACAUUUAAGAACCCAUCCAUAUCUGCUCAAGAAUAUAGAGACACAAUGCUAAAGCUUCCGACUUUCUUGCUGCCUUCAAGUGGUAAUGUGUUCUGUAGAAACACAUCUUCCAGAGUAAAAACAGAGACAUUAUUGAGUUGCUGUUUCGGCUCCAUUUUAAUAUUAAUAUAUUUUUUAUUUCUUCUUUUCAACCA